rnacentral:rRNA from 1 species
GUAGGUGGCAAGCGUUGUCCGGAAUUAUUGGGCGUAAAGCGCGCGCAGGCGGUUUUUUAAGUCUGAUGUGAAAGCCCACGGCUCAACCGUGGAGGGUCAUUGGAAGCUGGAGAACUUGAGUACAGAAGAGGAAAGCGGAAUUCCACGUGUAGCGGUGAAAUGCGUAGAGAUGUGGAGGAACACCAGUGGCGAAGGCGGCUUUCUGGUCUGUAACUGACGCUGAGGCGCGAAAGCGUGGGGAGCAAACAGGAUUAGAUACCCUGGUAGUCCACGCCGUAAACGAUGAGUGCUAAGUGUUAGGGGGGUUUUCCGCCCCCCUUAGUGCUGCAGCUAACGCAUUAAGCACUCCGCCCUGGGAGUACGGCCGCAAGGCUG